CUUUCCAAAGAGAAUAUCCGCUCGUCGUCGUAGGAAUCAACAUUUUCCUCCUCCGUCGCCCAACGUUCUCCGCCACCAGCCUCUCUGCACAUUUUUUGGUGCUUACUACUAGCCUGAUUAGGAGAUUGAUAAGUUUCUUGUCAACAACUGAGCUAAAAAUGUCCACCUGAAGAUGGAUUCUUGAUGGUUAUAAAAUUGAAUUUUUGCCCAGUUCCUAAAGGUACAAGCUAUUUAUUUUAUAUUUUUUCCUGCUAAUCGUAUUCUAAUUUUGUUGGUUGUACUUUACUCCCUAGAAAAUUUGAGUUUGAUAUGGUUACCUAAGUUUUUUUUAGAUGCUUUUUAUAACUCUACAUUGCUGAAAUUUCUUAGAAUUAGUGACAGUUAAUAAAAAUGGGCCUUCAUUGAAGUAAAAGUGAUUUUUAGCUUUUCUGUUGUUAGUGUAAUUAUCCUUUGUCAAAAUCAAGCUAGAUUUUCCAUGGACAUGGAGGCAAGAUCUAGUGAUAAGGAAUGAAAUACAAAGAAUAACAUAGAGGAAUAUAGAGAGAGAAAAAAAAAUUAUAUUUCUAUUUCAUACUUUCGUAACUGCUUUGUGCAUGAGUAUGUUUCUGUCAUAUACAGAGCUACUAAUGUGUCUUAACCGUGUGACUAAUAGACUAUCCUAUAGAUGUACAUGUUAAAUAGUAUAUUGUACAAACACCCUCAUCUACACUCCCCCUCAAGUUUUUUCAUUCCCAACUUGGUCAACAGAAAGGCAUGUUGCUGAUGGCCAAGAGGCUUUGUCAAAAUGUGAGCUGGUUGGUGUUGACUUGGUAUGUGAGAAGUUUCAAUCAGCCCCUCUUGUAUUUUUUUCUCUUAUGAAGCGACAAUCUAUUUCGAUGUGCUUUGUUCUCUCAUGAUACAUAGGAUUUGCUACAAUUUGUAAUGCAACUUUUUUAUCACAAAAAAACUUCAUUGGCAACUUCACAUCCAUUCUUAAUUCUUUCAGUAAUCCAUUAAGCCAAAUCAACUCUGCCACUGUGUGAGCCAUGCUUCUACUCUGCUUCAGCAGAACUUCUAGUGAUAAUGCUCUUUUUUUUGCUUUCCAAAGGAUCAAUGAAUCACCUAGCUUAAUACAGUAGCCAGUCACAUAUUUUCUUGACAUGGGAUAAGAUGUCCAAUCAAAGUCACAGUAAGCUUCAAUCUGUUGUGUCUAUUUGAUUGACAUGAGAAUUCCUAGACCUGGUUGUCUGCUAAUGUAUCUGACAAUAUGUAGAGCUACAUCAUAAUGGGAUCUCUUCAAUGCAUGCAUGAAUUGGCUUAAGCAUUGGACUGCAUAAGAAAUGUCUGGUCUACUUAUCAUGAGGUAUAAAAGUUUUUCAUUCAGCCUUUAAAAACUCCCCCUAUCUUCCAAUGUUUCAUCAGAGGUUCCAACAUUUAUACUUUUGUCAAAUUAUGUACUUAUGAGCUUCAUGUUCGUCUCCACAGGUGUAUCUUUAGACUUUGAACCUACUACACCCACACCUGAGAUCAUUUCUAGUGCAUACUUCGUUUGUGACAUCAGUAUUCCCUCCUCACACCUUGCAAAUUCUAUUCCUGGGAAAUAUUUUAACUCUCCUAGGUCUUUUAGCUUGAACUUCUGGUGUAGUGCAGCCUUUGCAUUAUGUAUUUCCUCUAGAUCAUUUAUUGUUACAAGUAAAUCAUCUAUAUAUACCAGUACAAGCACAAACUUGUAUUUGUUAGUCUUGGUAAACAAUGAAUAAUCAUGUUUUCCUUUGAGUAAAACAAGAUUCUACGAGAGCUUGAGUUUGUUUCAAAUUCGAGUUCCUAGAUGCUUGUUUCAGACCAUAUAAGGACUUUAGUAGCCUACAUACUUUAUGCUCCCCUUGGAUACUAAAGCCUUGCGGGAGGGACAUGUAGACCUCUUCCUCAAGAUCACCAUUGAGGAAGGCAUUAUGCACAUCAAUUUGAAAAAUCGGCCAUCCCUUAAGGGCAACAACAACAACUGCAGUCCUGACUGUAGUAAGCUUGGGCACAUGGGAGAAAGUAUCAUAGAAAUCCAGACCUUAUUAUUGUGUAUAGCCCUUAGCAACUAGUCUGGAUUUGAACCUUUCUACUGAAUCAUCUGUAUUAUAUUUAAUUUUGUACACCCAUUUGCACCCAAUGAAAAUUUUACCAGAAGGCAGAUCCACUACUUCCCAUGUGUGGUUUUGCUCAAGAGCCUCAAUUUCCAAUUGCAUGGAUUUGACCCACCUAGCAUCCGUACUAACUUGAGUAAAAGAAGAGGGUUCAGUAUCAGAAGAAAAGGAAGAAAGGAACGACCUAUAAUGUGAGGGUAGUUGAGAAUAGGAAACAAAUUGUUGAAUGGGAUAGGAGGAGGAGGAAGAAGUAGUGGGUAAGGAGGAUGUACAUAAUCAGUCAACAAGAUGGAAGGUCUGGUUACCCUUCCCGAUCUUCUAGGUUGGUCAGGAGUGGUAGCAAUAGGAGUAACAUAGGUAGGAGAAGAGGUAUGAGAGGUUGGUAUAAUGUCAAAUAAAAUAGUAGUUAAUGAUGGAGUAGGGGAGACAGGUGAAGGUGAAGACUUAAUGGAAGAAACUAAAUCAAUGGAAGGUAUAAGUAUAGGGUUGAGAGAAGGUUCAGGAUGGAAAGAAGAAGAAUGAGAUAUUUUGGAAGGGAGGAAAUGAGAUCUGGGGAAUUUGAACGGGAAAAUGUACUCUUUAAACACAACAUCUCUAUUGAUAAAAAAUUUCCUAGAUUCAAUAUCAUAGAGCCUAUAACCUUUUUUAUGUAAAGAGUAUCCCAUGAAGAUAACAGGUCAAGACUUGGCAGAAGAUUUGUCACAAUAAUUUGGUCUUGUGGCAUAACACAAAAAUCCUAAAGUUGUCAUAUGAUGCAGGUUAGGAGGAUGACAAUGGAACAACUCAUACAGAGUUUUUCCAUUCAAAACAUUGUUGGGUAGUCUGUUGAUGAUAUGGGUUUCUACUAGAAUACAUUCGCCCCAGUAUUUUAAUGGGAUGUGGGCUUGAAAUAUUAACGCUUUACUAAUUUCAAGAAGGUGUCUGUGUUUCCUUUCCACUACCCCAUUUUAUUGGGGGGGGGGGGGGUAUACAACUACUUUGAUGUAUAAUCCCUUUAGAUUUGAAAAGAGUGGACCAAAGUGUAUUAAAUAAUUCAUAGCCAUUUUCUGAUUGAAAGAAAGACUUUAAAUUUGGAGGAAAAUUGGUUCUCAAUCAAUUGAAGGAAAUCACGCAGAACAACAAAAACAACACUUUUCACUGUUAACAAGAAUGUCCAAGUCAUUCUAGAGUAAUCAUCAACUAGAGUAAGAAAAUAUCUGAAGCCACAAUGAGUACAGACUCUAUAUGGACCCCAAACAUCCAUAUGAACUAACUCAAAUGCAGAAGUAGACUUAGAAGUACUAAUAGAAAAUGGUAAUCUAGUUUGUUUAGCUAAAGGACAAAUUGGACAAUUACAAUUAGUAGAUUUUGACAAGUGAUUUCUAAUUGUACGAAUUUUCAGUAAAACAUUCUGUGGUGCAUGACCAAGUCUUUGAUACCACAAAAAAUUUGAAUUAUUCUGAAGAGAGGCAGACAAACACUUGGAGACAAGAGCAGCAGCGUGUAAGGAUUGAGAAUGUACAACCCAUUCUUUUCACUACCAACCCCCUUCACCUUGCCACAGAAGAGGUCCUGAAAUAAACAGAAAUCAGGAUAAAAAGUUACUAAACACUUUAAAACCUUAGUGUACUUGGAGAAAGACAACAAAUUGUAUUUGAAUUGUGGAACAUAUAAUACAUUGUCCAGAACUUGUGAAUUGGGCUAGGAACAAGACCCUGAAUGAGUAAUUUUAGUACUAUCUCCAUUAGGUAAAUGUACAGAAUUGGAAACAAAAUUAGAGGGUAUGGAGUGCGAUUGGGAAAACAGAUGCAAGGAGGAAGCCAUAUGAUUUGAGGCUCCAGAAUUAAUUAUCCAACAACCAUAGUUAGCAAUGGAGUUACCUGCCAUAUUAGCUAACUCAUUUGCAGUUGACUCUGCCAUAUUUGGCAUCUCUAUUGCAGCUGAUCAUUUGUUCUAGUCCAGCAACAUAAGUAUAAGUUGAUAUUGAUCAUGGGUAAAUAUAGGUGCAAAUGCUAAACUUCCUAUUUGUCCCAUGCCUUUUGUCCCAGCAGUAUACAUCUCCUCUUGUGCCUUCACAUUUGUAUGGUAUGCCAUUGCUGGAGCACCAUUGUAGCCUCCUCUUCUCCUAUUGUUGUUAUUAAACUUAGUACAUGUUGGAUAACCAAUCAGCUUGCAACAGUUUUUCUUUGUGUGAAAUUUUAUAUGGCAAUAGUCACACUGUAUGUUCCGAUUCCUUCUAGGCCUUGUGUUGGAGGCAUCGAUCGAUAUCAUAGCAGUGGAUUCUCCAUCCAUAGGUGCAUUUCCUAGGAUUCCACUCUGCUUUCCCAAGCUCCCACUUAAUCUAUGACUUUCUUCUUGGAUCAACAUUGAAUAAGCCUGAUCAAUUGUAGGCGUCAGAUACAUUAUCAGAAUUUGGCUCCUUUGUGGUGCAUAUGCAUCAUUAAACCCUAUUAAAAACUUCAUCAAAUUUUAUUAGCGUAAAAAACAACAAAUUCUCUAGAUUUUACACAAUCAUACCUAGGAAAUGGUAUAAUCAACUCAAACUCAGCCCAUAGAUUAUUCAACCUUCAAUAAUAGAUUGAGAUACUCGAUUUUCCUUGAGUCAGACUUCCAAUUUCUAUGUUCAUGUGAUACACCUUGGUUGAAUUCACUUUUUCCAACCUUUCUUUAAAGUCUUCCCAAACCUUUUGUGCAUUUGAAGAGUAAACAAUACUUUUCCUAAGUUCUUGAGCCACUGAACUAAUGGUCCACGACUGUACAAUGGUGUUACAUCGAUCCCACUGGUGAAACUUGAAUGGAUCUGCUUCAUAUUUCUCCCUAGUACAUGUUCUAUUAAUAAAACCUAUUUUGUUCUUCACCAGAAGUGAAAUUUUCAUAGAACGACUCCACUCCGAGUAGUUCUCUGUUCCGACCAACAGCUGAGUAACCUACGCAAUCCCUGAUGUGUCUGAGGGAUGAGCGGAUGCGGAUCGUUGUAAUUAAGAAAUUGACUGUUUGCAUACGAAGAUCCGACUCCAGUUUGUGUAGAAUCACCCGUCAUCGCAGUAAAACUCGUCAAUAUUAAGAACUUAGCGCUAGAAAAAAAAUCGAAGAAGAGAGAACUUGAUUUGGGGAAAUUGAGAAGGAAAUUGUGAAGAAGAGAACUAUCAGCAGCUUCACAUUACAGAUCUUACUGGAUCUGUUAUGAUACCAUGUCAAAAUUAAGCUAGAUCUACCAUGGAACAUUAUUAGCACGAUAUUUGUUCCGUGUGGAAUUUUAUUGACACGAGGUUUCUUCCUGUGUUGUCACUGGACCUGGACUACUCAACUUCAGGAUUGUUGCAAUUAUCCGAUGUUAUACCGCAAUAGUUCUUUUGAAUCAUCAAAUAAUUUAUAUGUCUUUCAUUUCAUAUAAAAUAUAAAACCCUUUUAAUUAUAGAAAAUUAUGGUUUCUAAUAUUUUAUGUUAAUUUUAAAAUAUACAAAUUCUUUCUCAAAUAAAGUGAAAUAUUUCUAAUUUUUGUUUUGGGAGAAAUAGAUUUUAAGAUAAAGUAUUAUUAUUAUUAUUAUUAUCAUUAUUAUUAUUAUUACUAUUAUUAUUAUUAUUAUUAUUAUUAUUAUUAUUAUUAUUAUUAUCCCACUUGGAGGAUCGACAAAUUUUUCUAAUUUGCCAUUCACAUGUCUGGAACCUCCAAUCUAGUGACUGGUGGUAAAGGUUCACCUUGAAAGAAUCUCGCUUGUGCAAUGCUAACAAAGGUAAGAUUAUUGCCGUCCUUUGAGAAAUAUUCUCAUAUAUUAUUAUAGGAACGACUUUUGUAAUUCUUCUAUCGUUGCAUGAGAGCUUUACUGCAAAUAUUGUAGUAUUAAGCCAAUUGAAAGAGACCUUAACAAAAUAUAUGUUUGUUUAAUACUAAAAUUCAACAAUGCUAACAAACUACAAAAUUUUAACCUAUUAGUCUUUGUAACACUCUUUAUAAAGUAAUUACCAAAAUAAUUGCUAAUAGGCUUAAGCCUUUACUAAGUAGAUUGGUUAGUGAACACCAGAUUAGCUUUCUGAAACAUAAACGACCUAGUAAUAAUGCUAUCAUUAUUCAGGAGGUCCUCAAACGUUUUAAUAAACAAACAAGGAAAUGAAAUUGGCUCCUAAAGUUGGACCUAGAAAAGGCUUUGGAUAAAUUGGAAUGGUCAUUUGUUUAUCAAGCUCUAAGGUUCCACAAUUUCCCUCCUAAUAUUUCUUCUCUUAUUUUGAGUUGUAUUUCUUCUACGUCUAUCUCAAUCCUUGUUAAUGGAAAUAAGACUAAGUAUUUCUGCCUUCAAGGGGUAUCAGGCAAGGCGACCAAUGUCACCCUACGUUUUUAUUUUAUGUAUGGACAUGCUAUCCAAAAAUAUUGAACAUCAAGUUGACACUCUCUCUUAUUCUGCGUUGUAUUUCUUCUAUGUCUAUCUCAAUCCUUGUUAAUGGUAAUAAGACUAAGAAUUUCUGCCCUUCAAGGGGUAUCAGGCAAGGAGACCCAAUGUCACCCUACAUUUUUAUCUUAUAUAUGGACAUGCUAUCCAAAAAUAUUUAACAUCAAGUUGACACUCUUUGAUGGGAUCCAAUACUAUUAAAUAGGCAAAGCCCCCCCCCCUCCCCCAAUCCCAUCCCAUUUAUUUUAUGCUGAUGAUCUAACAUUAAUGGGUAGAGCUAAUAAAAAUACAAUUACUACCAUGAAAAAGAACCUUGAUAUCUUUUGCCAUUUAUCUGGCCUAAACAUCAACAAAGAAAAGUCUAAAUUACUUCUAUCUAAGAAUUGCACAAAGGACAUGUGUAAUUGGAUCACUUCCUUGUUAGAGAUUAAGGUCAUUAAGGACUUUGGUAGCUACCUAGGUUUCCCGAUGAGUGGAACCCCUCCUAAGCAUAAGGACUAUUUACCUCUAAUAGAGAAUGAGGGCCAGACUAAAUGUUUGGAAUGCCAAUUGUCUCAAUAUAGCAGGAAGGUUUACCCUUAUUAGAUCCACUCUUAACACAAUCCCUAACCACCAAAUGCAGUUAUCAAUGCUCCCUAGUAGAACCCUCCAAGAAAUUGUGGGGUACUACUAAUGAAAAAAAGAAGAUUCACUUAAUAAAUUGGGAUAAGGUAACAAUGCCCAAAGAGACGGGGGGAUUGAGAAGUAGAAAAGCGAAGAAGACGAAGCUAUCCCUACUAACAAGUCAAGUGCGGAGGCUCCAAAUUAAUCACUCUUCUACUUGGGUACGUGUUAUUAGCAGUUGUUACAAUCACACAAAAUCGACAAAAAAGGCCUCUCACACUUGGAAAAGACUCGUAAAAGGUUGGAACUAUUGUUGAGAGGGCAUUAGAUGGCUAGUGGAUAAAAAUCCCAAUAUAUCCAUUUGGGACACAAACUGGAUCCCUAAGUUUGGACUCUAAGGAAGAAUGUUAUAGGUCCCCUCAAUAAAAAGGAAAGUGAGCUUACUCUCAAAGAUAUAAAAAAUAAAAAUACAUGGGAUAUGUCUCAAAUUUCUUUUAAUCUGCACAUCAAUAUCCUUAAUAGCAUCCAUUCUCUAACUACAUCCAACAAUCAAAGUAACGCAAUUGUUUGGUCAAUAAACACUAGUGGUAUAUUCACAACUUCUUCUUGUUAUAAACUUAUUGAUAAUAAUAUUUCUGACAAACACAACUACACGGCCUACAAUUUUGAUUGGAUAUGAAAGUUAGAAUGGCCUAGGAAAAUUAAAUUUCUUAAUAUUGUCACUCCAGGCUACCUACUACAGAAUACCUAAGGAAAAUAGGUGUCAACAUUGAUACAAAUUACCCUAUUUGUAAACCAAUGAAUCCCUACUAUACAUAUUUUGGGAAUGCAAAUUGGCAAAAAUAUUAUGGGCAUCUAUAGGAGUUCCUUUGAACUCCCCUCAGCCUCAAGAACAUUGGGUAGAUUUCUUAUGGGACAAAUCCCCUAAAGCUCAAAACAGCCUUACCAACUGGAAAGUCGCAUUUCCGUUUGUUUUAUGGUCUAUUUUGAUAUGAUUCAGCGCGAUUUGCAGAAGUUGAUAGUUCAUAAGUUCAUCAAGUUUAAUUUUAGGUGCGAUUCGUAGUUUUGAUGUUGUUUGAUGUGAUUUGAGGCCUUGAGCAGGUUAGCGUUAUGUUACGAAACUUGUUGGUGUGUUCAGACAGGGUUCCACGAGACUCAUGUGAGUUUCGGGGUGGUUUUAGACUGUUUUUAAUUGAUGGUUUUUUUCCACAAGGAUAUGCAUCGUGAUCGUGGACUUUGGGUUGUGUUCCCGAAGAAAAAAUCUGCUAUUUGGGCACUAUAAAUUGCGACUGCGGAAGCCUUUUAGCGAUUGCAUAGAGGAACUUCUGUUGUCACUAACCCAAUUUAGGAAGCUAAUAUCUUCCAAUCUAUAAGGAAUUUGAAGAUGAUCCGAAAAAAAGAAAUUGCAGCCCUUUGAGUCUAGUUUUUAAAAUCUCAAAUUGUUUGUCAUUUGGAGUUUUGUACAAAAGAUUGUGGCUGUUACACUAUAAAAAGUCUGAGAAGAGUUUAGGAAGGGUAAUAGGAAUUUGUUCAUCGCGAUCACAGAGAAAUGGCCCGGGAUCGCGAAAGGUAAAAUUUGUGCUGGAACGUAUUGUUGAAUCGGUGACUGCAAUCACGAAGGGUACCUCUAGAGCACUGUUUAAAGUACUCUAUUUCAAACGUCUUGGUCAUUUUACCAUAUUUUGUGCUUUGGGCGAUUUUGAAGGGUAUUUUUACACAUUGGAUUGGGGUAAAUAUUCUAUAUCCGGAUUUGAGUAUAUUUUGUGAUUCUAUCUUUGUAUAUAACAUUAAAUUAGUGAUUUGAAUGGGGAAAAAUAUAAUUUUUUGUAUAAACUUUCAAAAAUGUAAAGUGAGGAUUCGAAAGCAGAUUUGAUAGCGUAAUAGGAUAAUUUUGGUAUGGUUGAACUCAUAUAGGAAUGUGUAUUUGGAUUUUGUGAAUUAUGUUGGGUUCCAAGGUGCGGGCACGGGGAUGAAUUUUUAGUUUUUAUUAAAGAUUGAAGCUUUAUUAUCUGGAAUUGUUUCAUAUGGUUUUUAUUUAUGAUAUUAAGUUAUUUUGGUUAGAUUUGAGCCGUCUGCAGAUUGUUUCACUCGCGAAGGUCAUUUUAGAGUAUCAGUUUAGUUGCAUUGAAGUUAGUAUCUUACCUAACUUUAUUUGGGGGAUCUACCUUUUAGGAUCUGAGUCGUUUGUGCUAAUUGUGUCAUGUAGAAGCUGUAUACGCAAGGCCACAAGUACGUACUUAAGCUUAUAUCUAGGAAGUGACCAGUAUAGACUAUUAGGCUUCUUUCAUGUACUUAUUUGGAUUUGUUAGUACAUGUUAUUUCUUUUAUUUGUCAUGUCUAUUAUCACAUUUUUAUUUGAAGUGGUCGUUUCAUGUCACAUUUCUUACUUGUAGAGUUGGCUAUUUUAUGCAUUAUUUGAAGUUAAUAUCACUUUUAUCAUUAUGUGAUUUCUUUUAUUGUGGAUUUACUCUUAGUUUAAUUGUUGUUACGUGAUAUCCUUUUUUUCCGAGUUAUUCACAUCCAUUUAGACGUAGUACUAGUUCAUGCCAUCUCUUUCAUUGUUAGCCUAUUCAUACAAUAGAAUCCGAAGUUUGCCAUUUCAUAUAAAUACUUUCACCAUCAAGUUUAUCCUAAAACAAUUAAUUGAAAUUGAGGUUAUCAAAAAUCAUUAAUCUAUUUUAAUUGAAGUUUUGUUUAAAGGGAGUGUUGUUCCUUGUUGAGUUACUUUCCCUUUCAUUUUAUUAUUAUUGAGGUUCCAUACACAUUGUGUUUGAGCCGUUGAUUGUUUGUCGUGGAAAUAUUGAGAUUGUUGGAUCAACAGAAAGGUUGUGGCCUAUGGGCACUUGUGAUACAAGUUGAUAUAUCGUGUUGUUAUGAUGUUAGCACGCGUGAAUUGUUGUGUUGUUUGGUUUUUAACAUUCAGGGUAUAAGGGUGGUAACUCACUGUUGUUGAAUAUAUAAAGUGAUAUUGGUGGCUAUUGUGUAAUUUUCCAGGCGGAGAAAUAAGGGUAUACAGAGUGAUACAGGUGGCUAUCAGAGUGAUAUGGGCGGCUAGUGAUAUUGUUAAGGCAGGGUGAUACUAUCGGAGAGAUAAGGGUUGCAAUGUCAGGGACAAAAGACAUUGUGUUGGUGAUUUUCGUGUGAUGGCAUGAUUUUCCUUAUGUAUGUUAUACACCAUACAUAUUCUCUUGUGCUUCUUUGAUGAUCUACUCGAUGCCUUUGAUAUUACUUGUUGGCUUGGAGUACAGUAGUACACUCGCACAAGUAUAUACCAUAGCAUGUCACUUAUACUAGCUAAAGAGUAUGAAACACAACAUUUAUUGAUCAUGCCCAAGUGUUUUUGUAUUAUAUUUUUUCAUGUUGAUAUUGAGCCCGUGGCCAUGCCUGGUGGAUUGUGCUAUUGAUCCUAUGACUACAUCGUGCGGAUGGUGAUUGUGAGCCUAUGACCAUACUGAGCGGAUUAUGAUAUUGAGCAUGUGAACACGCUGAGUGGAUUAUGAUUGUGAGCAUGUGAUCACGCCAGGAGGAUUAUGAAUGUAAGCCUGUGAUCAUGCCGUGCAGAAUAAGAUAUUGGCAUGUGAGUUAUUCGUGCGAUUGUGAUUUGAAAUGUGGGCACAAAGUGCCGUGAGCAGAGGAUGGUGGUCUGAGAUCCAUGACUUCUGAUUAUGAGAUGAGGUAUCACAGAGUGAUUUUGUUUGUAACUUAUGUUAGAACAACUUGAUUAAUUCAUUGUCAUUUGUGUUCCUUAUGCGGUUUUAACGAUACUUCAGGGUGUUCUUAUUGCUUACAGUUUAUAUCACUUGUUGCCAUUUACUGAUUUCCACUUUUUAUUAUUAGCUUUAUACUUCUAUAUUGCAUAGGUUAUUUUAUCUAGAGAGUACUUAACUUUUACCUCGUCACUACUCCACCGAGGUUAGUCUUGAUACUUACCGAAUAUCGACCGUGAUGUACUCAUACUAUAUUUCUGUACAUUUUUGUGUAGAGCUAGGUAUUGGAGACUUCGGCCCGGGGAAGAAUUAGUUUUUUGAUCAUGAGAAUUCAAGGUAGAGCUGGUUUAUCAUCGCAGUCCAAUGGAG
rnacentral:lncRNA from 1 species